UGCAAGUCGAGCGGACAGAAGGGAGCUUGCUUCCGGAUGUAGCGGCGGACGGGUGAGUAACACGUGGGUAACCUGCCUGUAAGACUGGGAUAACUCCGGGAAACCGGAGCUAAUACCGGAUAGUUCCUUGAACCGCAUGGUUCAAGGAUGAAAGACGGUUUCGGCUGUCACUUACAGAUGGACCCGCGGCGCAUAGCUAGUUGGUGAGGUAACGGCUCACCAAGGCGACGAUGCGUAGCCGACCUGAGAGGGUGAUCGGCCACACUGGGACUGAGACACGGCCCAGACUCCUACGGGAGGCAGCAGUAGGGAAUCUUCCGCAAUGGACGAAAGUCUGACGGAGCAACGCCGCGUGAGUGAUGAAGGUCUUCGGAUCGUAAAGCUCUGUUGUUAGGGAAGAACAAGUGCAAGAGUAACUGCUUGCACCUUGACGGUACCUAACCAGAAAGCCACGGCUAACUACGUGCCAGCAGCCGCGGUAAUACGUAGGUGGCCAGCGUUGUCCGGAAUUAUUGGGCGUAAAGGGCUCGCNGGCGGUUUCUUAAGUCUGAUGUGAAAGCCCCCGGCUCAACCGGGGAGGGUCAUUGGAAACUGGGAAACUUGAGUGCAGAAGAGGAGAGUGGAAUUCCACGUGUAGCGGUGAAAUGCGUAGAGAUGUGGAGGAACACCAGUGGCGAAGGCGACUCUCUGGUCUGUAACUGACGCUGAGGAGCGAAAGCGUGGGGAGCGAACAGGAUUAGAUACCCUGGUAGUCCACGCCGUAAACGAUGAGUGCUAAGUGUUAGGGGGUUUCCGCCCCUUAGUGCUGCAGCUAACGCAUUAAGCACUCCGCCUGGGGAGUACGGUCGCAAGACUGAAACUCAAAGGAAUUGACGGGGGCCCGCACAAGCGGUGGAGCAUGUGGUUUAAUUCGAAGCAACGCGAAGAACCUUACCAGGUCUUGACAUCCUCUGACAACCCUAGAGAUAGGGCUUUCCCUUCGGGGACAGAGUGAC
rnacentral:rRNA from 1 species